GUGAAUGCUAGUGAUAUACAUAAUACAUGCAAGUCGAACGAAAUUUAAUAAAGUUAGAUUUAGUGGCGUACGGGUGAGUAAAGCAAAGGAACGUAACUUACAGAAGAGGACAAAAAAGAAAUACUCUAUAAAAAAGGGAAACCGCUGUAAGAAUGGCCUUUGUAGGAUUAGGUAGUUGGAGUGAAAAAGCACACCAAGCCAAAGAUCCUUAGCUGGUCUGAGAGGACGGACAGCCACAUUGGGACUGAAACAAGGCCCAGACUUCCACGGAAGGCUGCAGUAGGGAAUACUGGACAAUGAGCGAAAGCUUGAUCCGGUGAUAUCAAAGGAGUGAAGGAGGUAAAAAAUCGUAAAACUCGGUUACUAUAGAGGAUAAUGACGGUAAAUAGUAAAAAGGCCCCGGCUAAUCUUGUGCCAGCCGCCGCGGUAAU
rnacentral:rRNA from 1 species